AUGCAUAAGAGGUUAAGGAUGUUGAUUGGCAACCAGGGAUGAGGAUGUACAUAGGUAGCAUACAUAAGAGGUUAAGGAUGUUGAUUGGCAGCCAGUAGGGAAUGAUCUGCAUAGGUUGUUUACAUAGAGGAUUAAGGAGGUUGUUGAGAAGUCAGUA